rnacentral:rRNA from 1 species
GUGGGGAAUCUUAGACAAUGGGCGCAAGCCUGAUCUAGCCAUGCCGCGUGAGCGAUGAAGGCCUUAGGGUUGUAAAGCUCUUUCGCUGGGGAAGAUAAUGACUGUACCCAGUAAAGAAGCCCCGGCUAACUCCGUGCCAGCAGCCGCGGUAAUACGGAGGGGGCUAGCGUUGUUCGGAAUUACUGGGCGUAAAGCGCGCGUAGGCGGAUUGGAAAGUUGGGGGUGAAAUCCCGGGGCUCAACCUCGGAACUGCCUUCAAAACUCCCAGUCUUGAGUUCGAGAGAGGUGAGUGGAAUUCCGAGUGUAGAGGUGAAAUUCGUAGAUAUUCGGAGGAACACCAGUGGCGAAGGCGGCUCACUGGCUCGAUACUGACGCUGAGGUGCGAAAGCGUGGGGAGCAAACAGGAUUAGAUACUCGGGUAGUCC